CCAUACUAAUAAGCUCUGGAGCUCUCUAAUUUUACUGGUCAUACAUAUAUAAUAUCACCUAAUACAUACUUCCGUGUUUGUCAUGUUGUGAAAGAAGAAAUGUAUUUCUUACCAGAGAAAAUUCAUGGAGGAAAGAAAGAAUGGUAUGUCUCAAUUUCUUUUUGAACUUCAUGUGUUCCUUCUAUGGCAGUAAAUGCCAUUUGUUUUGUC
rnacentral:lncRNA from 1 species